CAAUUUAUAAUUUGGGGAUCGAAAUUUCUCCGCCAAAAUCAUUUUCCAAUAGCCCGCUAUUCCACAUUUUCUAAUUUCAUAAUGCCGCGCGAUUAAUCCCAAAAGCCCGCUAUCCAGAAAUUUCACGUUUUCAACUUUCAUGUUUUCAUUACUUUUGAGGAUACAAAGAAUCGGUUAUCUCAGUUUUCAAUUUCAUAGAUAGUGAUGAGCGAUAGGGCAAAAGUUAUAGAUUCCCCUCAUCACUUUCCUCUAUCUCUCUAACCAAAAGUUUAAAUUUGUGGUGACGGGCUCCCAACAAAGUGAAGCUUCCAGCCUCAUCUCACCGACCUUCUAGCCUUCUAGGUGUACAUCGUCGUCAAUUAAUUCUCCAGCACCAACACCUGUUGUUGGCUGUCACUAGUGAUGUUAAUUAAGAAUAUUCAAAACCGGCAAUUUGCAUCAAUUACACUCAUACUCUUCAAGAAAAUAUAGGGUUUUGAUUUCUCUAAUUAUCAAUCCUCGUCCAAGCUCGGUUUUUGAAGCCUGGGAAAUGCGUUAAGGUUUACCUGCCGCCGCCCUUGAUCGAUUACAUUGCUGCUGAGAAUGCUGAUAACCGAAGCCUAGUAGAUCUGAAACAAAAAUUUCUUUAUGAGUUUGCAGACAAGUCGAAGAUCUGGAAGCUCACUGAAAUCAAUAAAUCUCCAGUGCCGGUCACUAAGACUUCCUGAUAUUAUAUCAUCUAUGAGGAUGGAGCUGCCUCACUGGACUGAGAUUCUCAAGACUAGUAAACUCAAGGAACUCGCUCCAUAGGACCCUGACUGGUAUUACACCAUAGCUGGUAGGUGCAAAUUUUUCCCUGGAAGCUUCAUUUGCUUGUCCACUUUAGUAAUCAACUUUGUUGAUCCAUGGUUCCUUUCUGUUUCAACUUUGCAUAUUUUUGUCGAGUGAACGAGGAUUUGUAAAAUAUGAAAAUGCCUAACCUCAAUGGUAGUCGGUUUCUUGGAUAGGCUGUUUUAGCCGGAAAAGGCUGGGAUAUCUGUCUUUUUUUUAAUGUGAUAAUUUUUUUGAUCACUGUUACUUGUUCAUUUCUACGAAAGAGAUGGCAUUAUAAUGAUGAAUUUACAUAUUUUUAUUGUGUUUAUUUGUGAAUGGAUAUCUUAGUGAAGAAAACAAGAGGAGAUAGUGAUUAGAUGGAUAUUGUUGUAUUUAGAUUUUGACACAUAAUCCUUUUGUAAAGAUUAGGUGACUUACGGGUUGAUUAGCACGAAACCACAGUUCAACAUAUGAUGCAAGCCGUAUAUAAAGUGGUUUAAUCUGUAUGUAUAAUACAGACCUAGGUACUAGCGUAACUUGGAGGGAGUUGUUAUAGGCCAGGAGAAUUGAAGCUUUGAAGCUGAGUCUGGAGAUUUAAUAUGAAACACUGCUGUUUGGUUUAAUCUGCGAAGUUUGUUCUGCUGUUGUAUGUUCUCUUCAGCUGGCUUGGGUGUGUCUGAUCUGAUCCUGAGUUACAGAACUAGGCUGACGUGGUUGUGUUGUGCUGCUUCUGGUGCACUAUUGUUGUUCUGAUGUCCUUUUGGUACUGCUGUUCUGUUCUGCUCUAGGCUGCUCCUGUGUGCACUUUGUUGUUUUGCACAUUGAUGUUGGCCCAUUGCUGUUGUUAAAGCCUGAUGGUGACGUGUAUCUGAACAUCAUAUAUCAUGUGGUGCAAUCAGUUUGUACAAAGCUAUUUUAGACCAAUGUUUUGUUUUGGCCUUGGUAGUUCCUCAUUUUUUUGGGGGGGGGGGGGGGGGGGUCUUUGGGU